UGGCCGUCCUGGAGCGGGCGCUGCCCGCGGCGCUGGACGCGCUGGCCGUCGGCGGCCGGAUGGUCGUCCUCGCGUACCACUCGCUGGAGGACCGGC
rnacentral:tRNA from 1 species